rnacentral:ncRNA from 2 species
ACCGAAUAGGUGGAAACAGGUGCUUCAGCAAACGGCUGAAGCUUAAAAGGGAAGUACGGUGCAAAUCCGUCGCGGUCCCGCCACUGUUAUGGGAGCCGGAAGGUCCGGCUAUUUUUCGGCAUUGCGUCACUGGAGCUUAUUUCCGGGAAGACGCCGAAGGAGAAACCCUGAGUCAGGAGACCUGCCUGUUUUGACAACACUGC